rnacentral:tRNA from 2 species
GCCCGGAUGGUGAAACUGGUAGACACAAGGGACUUAAAAUCCCUCGACGCAAGUCAUGCGGGUUCGAUUCCCGCUCCGGGCACCA